rnacentral:rRNA from 1 species
UGGGGAAUAUUGCACAAUGGGCGCAAGCCUGAUGCAGCCAUGCCGCGUGUGUGAAGAAGGCCUUCGGGUUGUAAAGCACUUUCAGCGGGAAGGAAGGCGGUGAGGUUAAUAACCUCAUCGAUUGACGUUACCCGCAGAAGAAGCACCGGCUAACUCCGUGCCAGCAGCCGCGGCAAUACGGAGGGUGCAAGCGUUAAUCGGAAUUACUGGGCGUAAAGCGCACGCAGGCGGUCUGUCAAGUCGGAUGUGAAAUCCCCGGGCUCAACCUGGGAACUGCAUUCGAAACUGGCAGGCUAGAGUCUUGUAGAGGGGGGUAGAAUUCCAGGUGUAGCGGUGAAAUGCGUAGAGAUCUGGAGGAAUACCGGUGGCGAAGGCGGCCCCCUGGACAAAGACUGACGCUCAGGUGCGAAAGCGUGGGGAGCAAACAGGAUUAGAUACCCUGGUAGUCCACGCUGUAAACGAUGUCGAUUUGGAGGUUGUGCCCUUGAGGCGUGGCUUCCGGAGCUAACGCGUUAAAUCGACCGCCUGGGGAGUACGGCCGCAAGGUUA